rnacentral:rRNA from 1 species
AAACCGCUUAGAGGCAAACGGGUGGAACCGCAAUGCGUCGACCCGGGGGAUUCAACCAGGCCCGUACGACACCGGGACGAGCAAUCAGGGUCCUGCGGAGCUCCAAGGCCCGCGCCCGUGCUCGGUCUCCGGGCGGACUGGUGCACUUUCCUCGGGUCGAAGGCCACGACCGGCUCUCCUAGAUCGGCGACCAGAAAGCUACGUCCGGGAAGGUGACCGUCGGCUUCCGGCCUUCGGUGUUAUAGCCCGGUUAGAAAUGGUCGUCGGAGGGCCGAGGAAGAAUGCCGCGCCGAUGCCACCCCGCCGGCCAUCUGGGCUCUAGUCACAUAUGGGUUUCACUGCUCCGUCAGUGCUAUCCGACUCAGAGCCGGGAAGGGCUGGCAAGGGUGCUCGGCGCUUCGGGUCAGUGGCGAAUCGGUCGGUAACCCACCCGACCCGUCUUGAAACACGGACCAAGNGGUUCUAACAAAACGGACCAAGGGGUCUAACAACACGGACCAAGGAGUCUAACA